CGCGUAGGCGGUUUAGUAAGUCAGAUGUGAAAGCCCUGGGCUUAACCUGGGAACUGCGUUUGAAACUGCUGAACUAGAGUGUGGUAGAGGGAAGUGGAAUUCCGGGUGUAGCGGUGAAAUGCGUAGAUAUCCGGAGGAACACCAGUGGCGAAGGCGACUUCCUGGACCAACACUGACGCUGAGGUACGAAAGCGUGGGUAGCAAACA
rnacentral:rRNA from 1 species